GCCUGGGUCACUGCAUAUCCUGAAGGCACCAGAUCCUGUCUGAUCUCAGAAGCUAAAAAGGGACAGAUCGCAUUAGUAACUGGAUGGGAGACAGCCAUGGAAACCAGGUACUAUAGGCC
rnacentral:rRNA from 1 species